CCCCUCUUUCUAUUCAUUUAUUCUUUCUUCUUGAUUAGUUGGAUAGGUUCUUAUACGGUAACCAAAAAUCUUACCACACGAAGUAGUUACAAACAGCAGAGAUGCUUAGAAGAUUUAAAUCUGUAGAACUUAAUGACAGAAAAGAUGGCAGACAAAGCAUUACACAAGAGCAGCUACAGCCCAACGCACCCACUCAAAAGGAGAGAAGAAGAAAUACACCCAUAUUCUAAAGUUUGGUAAAUUAAUCCCAAUGGUGCAUGGGAAGAACUGCAAUGUCCACGACAAUACUUUUCAUUUGCAAUGAGCACCCCCGCCGAGAAAAUAUUGGGUGGUCCGGGACCGCCACGUCAAUGUGGUCCCGGACCACUCACGCAAUGCCACGUGUAAGGGGAGGGAACCAAAGGACCUACCCCUGUCUCUCUCCUCUUUCUCUUCUCUGUCUCCCUCCCCUUACACGUGGCGCCGUGUGUAAGGGGAGGGACCAUGCUGAUGUGGCGGUCCCAAAUCACCCAAUAUUUUCUCCACCCUGCCCCCCAAAAAAGGGGGAAAAAGCAUGGUGAUACUGGCAAUGUCACCCGUGAAAUGUCAAAAUUCCCCAUUAAAAAAAAGGCCUUUAGGCCCAUGUGGCCCAGGCACGACUCAUGGGCCGCCAAGCCCAUGAUGAGAUCUAGUCAAGCGGGACAUAGAAAUGGUUUAGAAGUGCAUAGCAGGGACUGUGGAGGUGGUUGCAAUGGCUUUUACGGUGGCAAAGGUGGUGCUGGGGGCUCAAGGGCUGUCGCGUGACAAGGAAGGGC
rnacentral:lncRNA from 1 species